UACGAAGGGGGCUAGCGUUGCUCGGAAUCACUGGGCGUAAAGGGUGCGUAGGCGGCCAACUAAGUCAGACGUGAAAUCCCUAGGCUCAACCUAGGAACUGCGUCUGAUACUGGAUGGCUUGAAUCCGGGAGAGGGAUGCAGAAUUCCAGGUGUAGCGGUGAAAUGCGUAGAGAUCAUGAGGAAGACCAGUGGCGAAGGCGGGUCUCUGGACAGUUCCUGACACUGAGACACGAAGGCCAGGGGAGCAAACGGG
rnacentral:rRNA from 1 species